rnacentral:pre_miRNA from 1 species
AAAGUACUCCCUCCGUCCCAAAAUUCUUGUCUUAGAUUUGUCUAGAUACGGAUGUAUCAAGUCACAUUUUAGUAUUAGANCUAGAUACGGAUGUAUCAAGUCACAUUUUAGUAUUAGAUACAUCCGUAUCUAGACAAAUCUAAGACAAGAAAUUUGGGACAGAGGGAGUAGUUG